UACAGAGGGUGCAAGCGUUGUUCGGAAUUAUUGGGCGUAAAGGGCGCGUAGGCGGUGCGGUAAGUCUGCAGUGAAAUCUCUGGGCUCAACUCAGAGUCUGCUGUGGAAACUGCCGUGCUUGAGUGUGGGAGAGGUGAGUGGAAUUCCCGGUGUAGCGGUGAAAUGCGUAGAUAUCAGGAGGAACACCGGUGGUGUAGACGGCUUACUGGACCAUAACUGACGCUGAGACACGAAAGCGUGGGUAGCAAACAGG
rnacentral:rRNA from 1 species